GGAUGCCUCAGUACGGCGAGUGAGCGGCAAAAGCUCAAAUUUGAAAUCUGGCACUUUCAGUGUCCGAGUUGUAAUUUGUAGAAGUAGUUUUGGGACUGGUCCUUAUCUAUGUUUCUUGGAACAGGACGUCAUAGAGGGUGAGAACCCCGUAUGAUGAGGCCCCCAGUCCUUUGUAAAACGCUUUCGAAGAGUCGAGUUGUUUGGGAAUGCAGCUCUAAGUGGGUGGUAAAUUCCAUCUAAAGCUAAAUAUUGGCGAGAGACCGAUAGCGAACAAGUACAGUGAUGGAAAGAUGAAAAGAACUUUGAAAAGAGAGUGAAAAAGUACGUGAAAUUGUUGAAAGGGAAGGGCAUUUGAUCAGACAUGGUGUUUUGCGCCCUUUGCUCCUUGUGGGCGGAGGAUACGCAGCUCACUGGGCCAACAUCAGUUUUGGGAGCAGGAUAAAUCUGUAGGAACGUAGCUUUCUUCGGGAAGUGUUAUAGCCUAUGGGAAUACUGCUACCUGGGACUGAGGACUGCGUCUUUUGACAAGGAUGUUGGCAUAAUGGUUAAAUGCCGCCCGUCUUGA
rnacentral:rRNA from 1 species